GCGAAAAAGACAUUUAUUGUAAGAAGCACAAUUAAAUAAGGCAAUCAUUAUUUAUAAGAUUAUUCUUAUAAAAAUAUAAGAGACAAAAGUAUAAGUAUAUGUACCAGUGUUGAUGUUAAAGGUCAUGGACAUCGAACAAUUAGUUGCACAAUCAUAAGUAACUUUUGACAAUACUUUAUGACAUUUCAAUAAUGUACAUGCAGCAACACAACCUGCAUAUAAUGGAAUUCUUGUUUUGAAGCCUUUACAUUUAAAAGCACAUUUGGCAAGACAAGCGAUUCGACCAGUUGGUGAACUAGGUGAACUAGGUUGUGAUGGAGGUGGAGGAGAAUUAUCAG
rnacentral:lncRNA from 1 species